rnacentral:rRNA from 1 species
UGCGUAGGUGGCGGGGUAAGUUUGAUGUGAAAUCUCCGGGCUUAACCCGGAAACUGCAUUGAAUACUAUUCUGCUCGAGGUUUGGAGGGGGGACGUGGAAUUCUCGGUGUAGCAGUGAAAUGCGUAGAUAUCGAGAGGAACACCAGUGGCGAAGGCGAGUCCCUGGACAACACCUGACACUGAGGCACGAAAGCUAGGGGAGCAAACA